AGCGAACGCUGGCGGCAGGCUUAACACAUGCGAGUCGAGCGGGCAUCCUUGUGGUGUCCGCGGCAGACGGGUGAGUAACGCGUGGGAACGUGCCCUUCGGUUCGGAAUAACUCAGGGAAACUUGAGCUAAUACCGGAUACGUGCGAGAGCAGAAAGGUUUAUCUGCCGAAGGAUCGGCCCGCGUCUGAUUAGCUAGUUGGUGAGGUUAUGGCUCACCAAGGCGACGAUCAGUAGCUGGUCUGAGAGGAUGAUCAGCCACACUGGGACUGAGACACGGCCCAGACUCCUACGGGAGGCAGCAGUGGGGAAUAUUGGACAAUGGGGGCAACCCUGAUCCAGCCAUGCCGCGUGAGUGAUGACGGCCUUAGGGUUGUAAAGCUCUUUUCUUCGGGACGAUAAUGACGGUACCGGAGGAAUAAGCCCCGGCUAACUUCGUG
rnacentral:rRNA from 1 species